UUCGCAAUGCCCGAAAGGGUGACGAAGCGACGCCGCGUGGGUGAGGAAGGCCUUCGGGUUGUAAAACCCUGUCAGGAGUUAUGAAAUGUAAGUGCGCUAAUAUCGUGCUUAUUUGACAAAGGCUCCAAAGGAAGCCACGGCUAACUCUGUGCCAGCAGCCGCGGUAAUACAGAGGUGGCGAGCGUUGUUCGGAAUUAUUGGGCGUAAAGAGCACGUAGGUGGGUUUGCAAGUCAGAUGUGAAAGCCUUCUGUUCAAAGGAAGAACGGCAUCUGAAACUGCAGAUCUUGAGUGUAGGAGGGGAGAGUGGAACUUCUGGUGGAGCGGUGAAAUGCGUAGAUAUCAGAAGGAACGUCGGCGGCGAAAGCGACUCUCUGGCCUAUUACUGACACUGAGGUGCGAAAGUUAGGGGAGCAAACGGGAUUAGAUACCCCGGUAGUCCUAACCGUAAACGAUGGGCACUAAGUAGAGGGGUUUU
rnacentral:rRNA from 2 species